CAGUAGCCGCGGGAAUACGAAGGGUGCAAGCGUUACUCGGAAUUACUGGGCGUAAAGCGUGCGUAGGUGGUGGUUUAAGUCCGUUGUGAAAGCCCUGGGCUCAACCUGGGAAUUGCAGUGGAUACUGGGUCACUAGAGUGUGGUAGAGGAUAGUGGAAUUUCCGGUGUAGCAGUGAAAUGCGUAGAGAUCGGAAGGAACAUCUGUGGCGAAGGCGACUAUCUGGGCCAACACUGACACUGAGGCACGAAAGCGUGGGGAGCAAACAGGAUUAGAUACCCCAGUAGUCCCUGUCUCUUAUAU
rnacentral:rRNA from 1 species